UUUGACCUAGCAUCAUGUGUGUCAUUUUGAAGUCUGAAAUUUCCCAAGCUUUUUCAUGUGUCUUACUAUAAAUCAGAUUGUGCUUCUCUUCCCUCAACUACUCACUGCAUUGAAGGAAAAAUGAUAGUGGUUGCACCCAAUGUCCUCCAGCUCACUUUGCAUCUCUACAUUUAAGUAGUUGAUUUAAUGGAGAGUAAGGUUGAGAUUGGUCUGUUAAAAUCUUAUUAACUAACUUGUACUUUCUUAUGUGUGUAUAUACAGAUGUAUAAUUCUACAUAUUGAGACAAUAGUCAUUAUGCAUAUUCUCACACCAUUGACUUUACUCAAUAUUGUCUCACAGCCCAAUUUCUUCACAUCCCGUUCAGACUUGUGUUUGCUCCUUCAGGGUCUCCAUUUUCUUAAUUUAUCCACUUGCAUUUUCUAAAUGUGUUGUUUCUUGACUACAAGCAUUCUUAUACUGUAAUAGCCACUGACCUUCUAGCCAUUUAAUCCUUAGUUUGAAAGGUCUUUCAUCCAGCAAGGCAUGUGCUAAUGAAACUGAUUAGUCAACCUUAAUACUGUUUAAUGCGUCAUUAUGUGUCAUCCUAGUCUAAGCUGGCAGUCCCUCUUCUGUUAUUGGGAAUUUCCUUGAAAUCUGGUCUGACAAUGGAUAGAUUAAAAGUAUGGAUGUUGAAGUUUGAUUUGAAAUUAAGCUCUCAAGCAGCCUGUUGAGAUCAAGUUGAUCCAAGAAGCACUUGCUUUUGGUUUGUACUGCUGUUGAGCUUGGUAGUGAAAUUAAAUGCUCAUCAAAGCUACUUUUGACAUCUUUGUAGCUUCAUCAACGGCAGAGUUACUUAGUUUUCCCUACAUUCUUUCAGUUCAAAAUUGCACGUUCAUCUGGGGUAGGAAUUAAAGCUACCCUGGGCCUAUGUUAAGCUAAGGAUGAACUUUGAAAAGGAGGGGAUAACCAUGUGAUUGCUCAUCUUCUUUUCCACCAUUUGGUUGGUCUUAAAUUUUUCCUCUCCCUACAUGUAAAUCAAAAGUCAAGGUUCUCACAACUAAGUAAAGAGAUGCUAUUGACCGUAUUUAUCAGCAAUCAAGGAGCUGAACAAGUUACCUAGUACAUGGAGACUAAAGGAAGUUGAGGGCAAGAAAGCUUGAAUUCCCGGGUACUUUUGUUUUACAUCAUAUAUGACAUAAGAUUCAAAGCAUGAAUCCUAUUCUUUGCAUGAGAACAUACUGAACGUAAAGCUCAUUAGCCAAACAAAAGCAUCUUUGAAGGAUAAAUAUCAGAGUCUCCAAAAAAAAAAUUUGUGGAUAAUCAUAAACUCCUUUUGUCAUGCUUAUUAUUCUUUAGCAUAUGCUCCUAUACCCCAUCUCUCUUUCUCUUGUUUGUCUUAUUCGUCCUCCUUUUGUCCCAAUUUGGCACCUCUCCAUUGAAGACCAACUACCUUUUGGCGUCAUU